rnacentral:piRNA from 1 species
CCUGGGAACUGGAAUGGUGCAGGCU